rnacentral:rRNA from 1 species
UACGUAGGGGCCUAGCGUUGUCCGGAUUUAUUGGGCGUAAAGAGCUCGUAGGCGGUCUGUCGCGUCGGAUGUGAAAACCCGGAGCUCAACUCCGGGCCUGCAUUCGAUACGGGCAGACUUGAGUACUGCAGGGGAGACUGGAAUUCCUGGUGUAGCGGUGGAAUGCGCAGAUAUCAGGAGGAACACCGGUGGCGAAGGCGGGUCUCUGGGCAGAAACUGACGCUGAGGAGCGAAAGCCAGGGGAGCAAACGGG